CACGGCCGCGCCGACAGAUUCCACGGAAACAGCAGGGAUGAGUCCAAAAUGGAGCAAACUGGACGAGCAGGGAAACAUUGAAGCCAGGCUAGAAACCCUCACUGAGUGUCCAACACCAAAUAUUUCAUAUCCUUCUGUUGCUGGAUCCUGUGGCCUUCUCCACUGCAACACUUCAUUCAGAGUUGCUGAAAGAUGGUGGCGAGAUGAAAAUCAGAAUCGUGUGGACGACGCAGCACAGACGAGCUUCGGCGAACGGCCGCACCAGAGACGACGCUGCCCUGAUGGUGAAGGUCCAGACUUUGACAUGACAGAGGUAUGUGAGGUAUAAC